CACGUAGGGGCCAAGCGUUGUCCGGAUUUAUUGGGCGUAAAGAGCUCGUAGGCGGUUGGGUAAGUCGGGUGUGAAAACUCUGGGCUCAACUCAGAGACGCCACCCGAUACUGCUCUGACUUGAGUCCGGUAGGGGAGUGGGGAAUUCCUGGUGUAGCGGUGAAAUGCGCAGAUAUCAGGAGGAACACCGGUGGCGAAGGCGCCACUCUGGGCCGGAACUGACGCUGAGGAGCGAAAGCGUGGGGAGCAAACAGG
rnacentral:rRNA from 1 species